rnacentral:rRNA from 1 species
UACGUAGGUGGCAAGCGUUGUCCGGAUUUACUGGGCGUAAAGAGCGCGCAGGCGGUCGAUUUAGUCGCGUGUGAAAGCCCCCGGCUCAACUGGGGAGGGUCACGCGAUACUGAUCGACUCGAAGGCAGGAGAGGGUAGUGGAAUUCCCGGUGUAGUGGUGAAAUGCGUAGAUAUCCGGAGGAACACCAGUGGCGAAAGCGGCCACCUGGACUGCACCUGACGCUGACACGCGAAAGCUAGGGGAGCGAACGGG